rnacentral:rRNA from 1 species
AGUUCGAUCAUGGCUCAGAUUGAACGCUGGCGGGAUGCUUUACACAUGCAAGUCAGACAGCGGCACGGACUUCGGUCUGGUGGCGAGUGGCGAACGGGUGAGUAUGUAAUGGAACGUGCCUAGUAGCGGGGGAUAACUACGCGAAGGCGUAGCUAAUACCGCAUACGCCCAUGGGGAAAGCGGGGGACCUUCGGGCCUCGCACUAUUGAAACGGCCGAUAUCGGAUUAGCUAGUUGGUGGGGUAACGGCUCGCAAAGGCGACGAUCCGUAGCUGGUUUGAGAGGACGACCAGCCACACUGGGACUGAUUUUGGCCAGACUCCUACGGGAGGCAGCGGUGAAAUUUUUGGACGUGGGGGAAACCUGAUCCAGCCAUCCCGCGUGUGCGAUGAGGCCUUCAGGUUGUAAAAGCACUUUUGGCAGGAAAGAAACGGCACGGGAUGUACCGUGCAGCUGACCAACCUGCAGAAUAAGCACCGGCUAACUACGUGCCAGCAGCCGCGAUAUGCAGCAGGGUGCAAGCGCCGAAAAUCGGAAUUACUGGGCGUAAAGCGUGCGCAGGCGGUUCGGAAGAAAGAUGUGAAAUCAGGCUUAACUUUGGAGCUGCAUUUUUAACUACCGAGCUAGAGUGUGUCAGAGGGAGGUGGAAUUCCGCGUGUAGCAGUGAAACCGUGAGUGCUAGAGGAACACCGAUGGCGAGCAGCCUCUGGGAUGUACUGACGCUCAUGCACGAAAAGCGUGGGGGAACAAUUAGGAUUAGAUACCCUGGUAGUCCACGCCCUAAACGUGUCAACUAGCUGUUGGGGCCUUCGAGCCUUGAUAGCGCAACUAACGCGUGAAGUUGACCGCCUGGGGAGUACAUUAAGAUUAAAACUCAAAGGAAUUGACGGGGACCCGCACAAGCGGUGGAUGAUGUGGAUUAAUUCGAUGCAACAUGAAAACCUACCCUUGACAUGUCUGGAAUCCCGAAGAGAUUUGGGAGUGCUCGCAAAGAACCGGACACAGGUGCUGCAUGGCUGUCGUCAGCUCGUGUCGUGAGAUGUUGGGUUAAGUCCCGCAACGAGCGCAACCUUGUCAUUAGUUGCUACGGGCACUCUAAUGAGACUGCCGGUGACAAGCCGGAGGAAGGUGAGAUGACGUCAAGUCCUCAUGGCCCAUAUGGGUAGGGCUUCACGUACAAUGGUCGGGACAGAGGGUCGCCAACCCGCGAGAGGCCAAUCAGAAACGAUCGUAGUCCGGAUCGCAGUCUGCAACUCGACUGCAUAGUCGAAUCGCUAAAGUAAUCGCGGAUCAGCAUGUCGCGGUGAAUACGUUCCAGGUCUUGUACACACCGCCCGUCACACCAUGGGAGUGGGUUUGCCAAGUAGUUAGCUAACCAGCAGGAGGGCGAUUACCACGGUAGGAUUCAUGACUGGGAGUGAGUCGUAACAAUUAA